rnacentral:tRNA from 1 species
GCCUGGCUGGCUCAGUCGGUAGAGCGCAUGACUCUUGAUCUCAGGGUGGUGAGUUCAAGCCCCAUGUUGGGCA